rnacentral:rRNA from 1 species
AUUGAACGCUGGCGGCGUGCCUAAUACAUGCAAGUCGAACGCAGUGGGGACGGGUGAGUAACACGUGGGUAACCUCCCAUCAGCGGGGAUAACACUUGGAAACAGGUGCUAAACCGAUACCGAUGGAGGGACCCGCGGUGCAUUAGCUAGUGGGUGAGGGAACGUCUCACCAAGGCCACGAUGCAUAGCCGACAUGAGAGUGUCCUCGCCCCCUCUGGGACUGAGACACGGCACAGCCUCGUCGUGGAGUCCUCACUCGGGUCUCUUCGCCUCUUGCCGACAGUCUGACCGCGCAACGCCGCGUGAGUGCAGGCGGUGUUCGGCUCGUAGCACUCUGUUGUUAGAGAAGCGGUAUCUAACCAGAAAGCCACGGCUAACUACGUGCCAGCAGCCGCGGUAAUA